UCACACAUGGAUGCCGCUUUACAGCUGAGCGAUGUUGACAUCCUACCUGUCUGAUGAUGACCUUGUCCUUGCAUGCCAGAUAUUAUAUCGACCUUUCAUGACAGACGUGCAGGACCCAGGAUCUUGUGAAAUCAUCGAGGGAUAGCCACUUGACCUGAGCAGUGAGUCACACGCAAGAUAGCGUAAGCAGUGAUUUCAUAGUGUAAUAACCGUCAUGAGAAUAGGAUUGUCACCGGGAUUGUCUAAGACUGCACUAGGGGACGGUUCUGGUGACUUAUUGACUCUCAUUUAAAGGUAAGUGUUAAAUGUUGUAAAGAUGAAGUUGAGUUUGACUGCAGUUACAUGGUGAAAGAAACUGUCCGGAAGCAAGGGGGAAAUAUUGAUUUAUAUGUCAUACAUAUUAGAAUUGAUGUAUACCCGGUACUGUGAAAUGAUCAGAAUCAUAUGCACCGCACACCGUAAUGGGUAUGUGGGACUACACACAACCGUGGUGUGAAAGUUCAAUCCAAACUUUUUCGUUAUUUUCAUCAAUUUUGUCGAAUGAUUAUAAAGGUUUGUGAAAAGAAAUAAUUUUCUUAGGACACUUCUUUGAUUUUCAUCCUAACUGAUAUACA